GGUGGCUCAGUGGUAGAGCGCUUGCCUCGCAUGCAUGAGACCCUGGGUUCGAUUCCCUCAGCACCA
rnacentral:tRNA from 1 species